rnacentral:rRNA from 1 species
UACGGAAGGCAGCAGUGGGGAAUAUUGCACAAUGGGCGAAAGCCUGAUGCAGCUAUGCCGCGUGUAUGAAGAAGGCCUUAGGGUUGUAAAGUACUUUCAUCGGGGAGGAAAAACAAAACUAAUAAUUUUAUUUCUUGACGUUACCCGAAAAAGAAGCACCGGCUAACUCCGUGCCAGCAGCCGCGGUAAUACGGAGGGUGCUAGCGUUAAUCAGAAUUACUGGGCGUAAAGAGCACGUAGGUGGUUUUUUUAAAGUCAGAUGUGAAAUCCCUGGGCUUAACCUAGGAACUGCAUUUUGAAACUGAAAUACUAGAGUAUCGUAGAGGGAGGUAGAAUUCUAGGUGUAGCGGUGAAAUGCGUAGAUAUCUGGAGGAAUACCUGUGGCGAAAGCGGCCUCCUAAACGAAUACUGACACUGAGGUGCGAAAGCGUGGGGAGCGAAACAGGGAUUAGGAUACCCGU